GUUCCUGUAGUUGAGGACAACGGUGGUUUUUCAGACCGCUGGCCUUGGGUAGAACCAAGCAGGAACU
rnacentral:tRNA from 1 species